rnacentral:sRNA from 1 species
CUCCCUCCACCCUGGAUGAAUAUCUCCCUUUCUGCUUUCUUCUUUCCCUUAUCACACUGAUUUAUAACUCUUUGCCUCUGUGUCUCCCGUAACUGCAGGAAGGGCAGAGUCUUGUACCUCUGGACCCAGUGUAGGCCUGCAACGGUCUCAGGUGCAGGAUGUGGAUGGGAGAGAGUUUGGUUUGAAAGGGUUAAGGGGUGAUUCCUGGUGCACAGAACAGGCCACCUCCCACCCUCUGGUUGUUCUCUUUACAGAUCAAUAAGAUGGAGUGGUGGAGCCGCUUGGUGUCCAGUGACCCUGAGAUCAACACCAAGAAGAUUAACCCCGAGAAUUCCAAGGUGAGCCCUGGCUGGUUGGGGGAGCUUCAGCAGGAAGGUGAGGGUCCUCAGUGUUUCCAGAGCUUCACCAAUUCCUGUCACUGCCUGCCCUCAGCUGUCAGACCUAGACAGUGAGACUCGCAGCAUGGUGGAAAAGAUGAUGUAUGACCAGCGACAGAAGUCCAUGGGGCUGCCAACUUCAGACGAACAGAAGAAACAGGAGAUUCUGAAGAAGUUCAUGGAUCAGCAUCCGGAGAUGGAUUUUUCCAAGGCUAAAUUCAACUAGCUC